UACGAAGGGGGCUAUCGUUGCUCGGAAUCACUGGGCGUAAAGCGCACGUAGGCGGCUUUCUAAGUCAGGGGUGAAAUCCUGGAGCUCAACUCCAGAACUGCCUUUGAUACUGGAAAGCUUGAGUUCGAGAGAGGUGAGUGGAACUGCGAGUGUAGAGGUGAAAUUCGUAGAUAUUCGCAAGAACACCAGUGGCGAAGGCGGCUCACUGGCUCGAUACUGACGCUGAGGUGCGAAAGCGUGGGGAGCAAACAGG
rnacentral:rRNA from 1 species